CAUAAAUCGAUCGGGUUACAAACUAAAACCGAGGGAAAGACAUAACAACUAUAAGAGGAAAACAACGAAACAACAUAAACACUAAAGUGCAGCAAAAAAAACCCCAAACAAACGAAAAUGUAACACGUACAGAAACGAACUAAAAGACUGACUUUCUAAUCACAUAUUAGACGUAAAUCAAUCUGGUGAGUUGUUGAACCUGCAACAAUAAAC
rnacentral:lncRNA from 1 species